rnacentral:rRNA from 1 species
AGGCCCUACUGGGGGCGGCAGUAGGGAAUCUUCCACAAUGGACGAAAGUCUGAUGGAGCAACGCCGCGUGAGUGAAGAAGGGCUUCGGCUCGUAAAGCUCUGUUAGUAGUGAAGAAAGAUAGAGGUAGUAACUGGCCUUUAUUUGACGGUAAUUACUUAGAAAGUCACGGCUAACUACGUGCCAGCAGCCGCGGUAAUACGUAGGUGGCAAGCGUUGUCCGGAUUUAUUGGGCGUAAAGCGAGUGCAGGCGGUUCCAUAAGGCUGAUGUGAAAGCCUUCGGCUCA